GGUAGGGAUACCCGCUGAACUUAAGCAUAUCAAUAAGCGGAGGAAAAGAAACCAACAGGGAUUGCCCUAGUAACGGCGAGUGAAGCGGCAACAGCUCAAAUUUGAAAGCUAGCCUUCGGGUUCGCAUUGUAAUUUGUAGAGGAUGAUUUGGGGAAGCCGCCUGUCUAAGUUCCUUGGAACAGGACGUCAUAGAGGGUGAGAAUCCCGUAUGUGACAGGAAAUGGCACCCUAUGUAAAUCUCCUUCGACGAGUCGAGUUGUUUGGGAAUGCAGCUCUAAAUGGGAGGUAAAUUUCUUCUAAAGCUAAAUAUUGGCGAGAGACCGAUAGCGCACAAGUAGAGUGAUCGAAAGAUGAAAAGCACUUUGGAAAGAGAGUUAAAAAGCACGUGAAAUUGUUGAAAGGGAAGCGCUUGCAAUCAGACUUGUUUAAACUGUUCGGCCGGUCUUCUGACCGGUUUACUCAGUUUGGACAGGCCAGCAUCAGUUUCGGCGGCCGGAUAAAGGCUCUGGGAAUGUGGCCUCCACUUCGGUGGAGGUGUUAUAGCCCAGGGUGUAAUACGGCCAGCCGGG
rnacentral:sRNA from 1 species